AAUAGAUACCCAGGUAGUCCACGCCCUAAACGAUGCUCACUAGGUGUUGGGGAAGCGAUUCCUUGGUACCGUAGCUAACGCGUGAAGUGAGCCGCCUGGGGAGUACGGCCGCAAGGUUAAAACUCAAAGGAAUUGACGGGGACCCGCACAAGCGGUGGAUGAUGUGGAUUAAUUCGAUGCAACGCGAACAACCUUACCUACCCUUGACAUGUCCGGAAGCCUGCUGAAAGGUGGGUGUGCUCGAAAGAGAACCGGAACACAGGUGCUGUAUGGCUGUCGUCAGCUCGUGUCGUGAGAUGUUGGGUUAAGUCCCGCAACGAGCGCAACCCUUGUCCCUAGUUGCUACGCAAGGGCACUCUAGGGAGACUGCCGGUGACAAACCGGAGGAAGGUGGGGAUGACGUCAAGUCCUCAUGGCCCUUAUGGGUAGGGCUUCACACGUCAUACAAUGGACGGUACAGAGGGUUGCCAACCCGCGAGGGGGAGCCAAUCCCAGAAAGCCGUUCGUAGUCCGGAUCGCAGUCUGCAACUCGACUGCGUG
rnacentral:rRNA from 1 species